UACAGAGGUCUCAAGCGUUGUUCGGAUUCAUUGGGCGUAAAGGGUGCGUAGGCGGCGCGGUAAGUCGGGGUGUGAAAUCUCGGAGCUUAACUCCGAAACUGCAUUCGAUACUGCCGUGCUUGAGGACUGGAGAGGAGACUGGAAUUUACGGUGUAGCGGUGAAAUGCGUAGAUAUCGUAAGGAAGACCAGUGGCGAAGGCGGGUCUCUGGACAUUUCCUGACGCUGAGGCACGAAAGCCAGGGGGAGCAAAACGGG
rnacentral:rRNA from 1 species